rnacentral:rRNA from 1 species
UACGAAGGGGGCUAGCGUUGCUCGGAAUCACUGGGCGUAAAGCGCACGUAGGCGGAUCUUUAAGUCAGGGGUGAAAUCCUGGAGCUCAACUCCAGAACUGCCUUUGAUACUGAAGAUCUUGAGUUCGGGAGAGGUGAGUGGAACUGCGAGUGUAGAGGUGAAAUUCGUAGAUAUUCGCAAGAACACCAGUGGCGAAGGCGGCUCACUGGCCCGAUACUGACGCUGAGGCACGAAAGCGUGGGGAGCGAACAGG